AGACCCGAAACCCGGUGAUCUAGCCAUGGGCAGGUUGAAGGUUGGGUAACACUAACUGGAGGACCGAACCGACUAAUGUUGAAAAAUUAGCGGAUGACCUGUGGCUGGGGGUGAAAGGCCAAUCAAACCGGGAGAUAGCUGGUUCUCCCCGAAAGCUAUUUAGGUAGCGCCUCGUGAAUUCAUCUCCGGGGGUAGAGCACUGUUUCGGCUAGGGGGCCAUCCCGGCUUACCAACCCGAUGCAAACUGCGAAUACCGGAGAAUGUUAUCACGGGAGACACACGGCGGGUGCUAACGUCCGUCGUGAAGAGGGAAACAACCCAGACCGCCAGCUAAGGUCCCAAAGUCAUGGUUAAGUGGGAAACGAUGUGGGAAGGCCCAGACAGCCAGGAUGUUGGCUUAGAAGCAGCCAUCAUUUAAAGAAAGCGUAAUAGCUCACUGGUCGAGUCGGCCUGCGCGGAAGAUGUAACGGGGCUAAACCAUGCACCGAAGCUGCGGCAGCGAACGUAUCACCCAAGACAACUUUACGGAGUUGACGAUUGACGGAGCGAAGCGACGUCAAAGCGUUCAUUAAAGUCGAGUUGGCUUAGGGAUACGUUCGUUGGGUAGGGGAGCGUUCUGUAAGCCUGUGAAGGUGUGUCGUGAGGCAUGCUGGAGGUAUCAGAAGUGCGAAUGCUGACAUAAGUAACGAUAAAGCGGGUGAAAAGCCCGCUCGCCGGAAGACCAAGGGUUCCUGUCCAACGUUAAUCGGGGCAGGGUGAGUCGACCCCUAAGGCGAGGCCGAAAGGCGUAGUCGAUGGGAAACGGGUUAAUAUUCCCGUACUUGGUGUUACUGCGAAGGGGGGACGGAGAAGGCUAUGUUGGCCGGGCGACGGUUGUCCCGGUUUAAGCGUGUAGGUGUGUGUUCCAGGUAAAUCCGGUUCACUUUAACACUGAGGCGUGACGACGAGGCACUACGGUGCUGAAGCAACAAAUGCCCUGCUUCCAGGAAAAGCCUCUAAGCAUCAGGUAACACGAAAUCGUACCCCAAACCGACACAGGUGGUCAGGUAGAGAAUACCAAGGCGCUUGAGAGAACUCGGGUGAAGGAACUAGGCAAAAUGGUGCCGUAACUUCGGGAGAAGGCACGCUGACACGUAGGUGAAGUGAUUUACUCAUGGAGCUGAAGUCAGUCGAAGAUACCAGCUGGCUGCAACUGUUUAUUAAAAACACAGCACUGUGCAAACACGAAAGUGGACGUAUACGGUGUGACGCCUGCCCGGUGCCGGAAGGUUAAUUGAUGGGGUCAGCGUAAGCGAAGCUCCUGAUC
rnacentral:rRNA from 1 species